AUGCAAGUCGAGCGGGCAUAGCAAUAUGUCAGCGGCAGACGGGUGAGUAACGCGUGGGAACGUACCUUUUGGUUCGGAACAACUGAGGGAAACUUCAGCUAAUACCGGAUAAGCCCUUACGGGGAAAGAUUUAUCGCCGAAAGAUCGGCCCGCGUCUGAUUAGCUAGUUGGUGAGGUAAUGGCUCACCAAGGCGACGAUCAGUAGCUGGUCUGAGAGGAUGAUCAGCCACAUUGGGACUGAGACACGGCCCAAACUCCUACGGGAGGCAGCAGUGGGGAAUAUUGGACAAUGGGCGCAAGCCUGAUCCAGCCAUGCCGCGUGAGUGAUGAAGGCCCUAGGGUUGUAAAGCUCUUUUGUGCGGGAAGAUAAUGACGGUACCGCAAGAAUAAGCCCCGGCUAACUUCGUGCCAGCAGCCGCGGUAAUACGAAGGGGGCUAGCGUUGCUCGGAAUCACUGGGCGUAAAGGGUGCGUAGGCGGGUCUUUAAGUCAGGGGUGAAAUCCUGGAGCUCAACUCCAGAACUGCCUUUGAUACUGAAGAUCUUGAGUUCGGGAGAGGUGAGUGGAACUGCGAGUGUAGAGGUGAAAUUCGUAGAUAUUCGCAAGAACACCAGUGGCGAAGGC
rnacentral:rRNA from 1 species